CUCUUUCCUUGCUGCCUUCGCCUGCGUGUGUAGCAUGGGCCGCACGCACCCUCGCGGUGGUCGCUCAGCGAGGAGGAAGGCGGCAGAAAGCGUCGCAAGGGGUCCUACUUGGCAGCUUCAUGUCUGAAACACUUUAGAUAUGGAUGAUCACACCUAAACUCGAAGCAAAGCUCAGGACUUCCUAGGGAAUACCUUCUAACAGAAGAUUUCUCGAGUCUGUUCUUCGUGAGCCUGUGUGAUCAAUGUCUUGAGCGUGAAUUGAUUGGUCUCCAGGGAGGAAACCAGCAUGUGCAAGGAACUUCAGCUGACAAUAAAAACACCAGCUUAUGAAGUCCUGAGUGGUUGAUUUCUGAAUUUAUACUAGCUGACUCCAGCUCUCACCUGAGACAAGGCGUGGCUAAGACUGCACCCCUUCAAUCAGCAUGCUUAAUCAAACAGGAACAUCACCAUUUGUUGAAACAUAUUUCUUAACCAAAGAAAAAAGCUCUAAUUUAUUACAAUGUCUGUGGAUUAAUUGCAAUAAAACAUGGGUGCUA